UAAUCUCUUUGAGAUAAAUUUUUAUUUAGUUAUGACAGACUCACACCUAACUGCUUAGAAUCACUCAUUGCUAUGUAAACAAUUACUUUUUGAGAUUUUAAUUGGAGU
rfam:Populus trichocarpa isolate Nisqually-1 chromosome 1, whole genome shotgun sequence.